AGGACCCUGCCGGGUUCGUGGUCAAGCUGAUUGUGAUGUGAACCAACACCCCAUCCAAGGGAGUCCGGGCUCUGGCGGCGGAAUGCAUGCCACUCUGUGUGGAGCCAGGAAACCGUCGGGAGGACACCCACCUGCGAGAGCAGGUUCAGCAGACAACAGCAACGUUAGCGGCCUGGCGGGGACCUU
rnacentral:other from 1 species